CCAUCUCCUGAGAUCCCAUCCAGUUUUUCAGUCAUGAGGAUCUUCACCCUUCUUUCAGCUAUUCUCUUCAUGGUUCUGAUGACUGCUCCAGAACUUGCUCAUGGACAAGGAGUGAGAUGGUGUUUUCUCAAUCGUGGGAUAUGCUUUCCUUCCCGUUGCCCACUACCGUGGCGCCGCAUUGGGUCGUGUUCUCCACGGAGUCCUUGCUGCAGACGGUAGUGUCACGUUGCUGGCUACUCAUAGUGGAUUUCAGAGUUACUUCCUUUUUUUUUUUUUUUUUUUUCAAUAAUUUUUAUUCAGAUUUUCAUAAAAC